AGCUCCAACUGACUUCCAACUGCCAGUAUUCUCUUGGCCUUGAGGCUUUCUCUGAAGCUUCAAAGACUACUCUGCCUAUUCGCAUGGCAGGCCAGACCAGCCAGGAAAAACACAUCUUCUUCUAUCCUUGUGGCAUUCGGCUGAUGCCUGAUGAGGAUUCCUGUCUUCUCUGGUCAGAAACAAUUUUGCACGCUGAGUGCUGAUAUUACUAUGUAUCAAAAGGAAACUGAAGCACAUGCUGUCUCAUGCUUCUUCCAUAGGAACACCACUCAGUUCAAGACCAAGGUAGCCAAUAAGAUGUAAGAGAAAGUACUUGAGUGGAGUUUCCAGGAAAGCUCUUCAAAGGAUGCUGAUGAACUCAGAGAACAUUAUUUUUUAUCUUCACUCUCUUUUCCUUGCUCCCUCUUCCUGCCUGGAAGAGAGAAGUGAUUGAUGGAACUCCAGCAAGGCAUCUAGGACCACAAGACAAUACUGAAGAUGGAAAAUGGACAUUAACAGAGAAAGAUGAUAAAAGGAACCUAAGUUCCUAAUGAUUGUGGAUCUCCCAUAUUAACUUUGGUCUCAGCUUUUUUUGGCCUGAUUUUUUUUUUUAAAUAAAACAUCAAACAACAACAGCAACCAAAGCUACAUGUAGUUUAAGCCACAGAGUUUGGGGCUUCUGGGGCUACUAUAGCCUACUGGUAUACUCUGUAUUUGAGCAUCAUUGUUUGGGAGAGGCUUAGUAGGGGCAUGUGAAGAGAUAGUUUGAAGAGGAUGGAUGGUUGGCAGAGCUUGCCCAUAGUCCUCGCCUUGACUCCAAGUCCCAGUUGGGCACUGUCCUUCCUCCCUUUUCUUGAAUUAUGAUCCAUUUGAAUUUA